ACUCUUGAUUUUGGCUUAGGUCAUGAUCCCAGCCGGGGAUGGCGGAUCGAGCCCCACGCAGGUCUGUCCACUGAGCAUGGGGCCUGCAUGAGAUGCUCUCUCUCCCUCUGCCCUCCUCCACUCACUCGUGCUCUGUCUCUCAAAAGAGAAAGUCGGGGGCGGCGGGGGGGGUUGUCCUUGCAUUGUCGCUAGCUGGUGGGUUUGUGGGGAGAAGGAGAUCCGGGGUUUCUUGCUCCAGAAACACCAUCUUUCUUCGUGUGCCUUGACCAAGUCAGCCAGCUCCUGGAGUGCGGCCCAGGUGCUCGUGGUGGACUUUUAUCCCCGCUGGCCACCUAGCUCCGGGGACCGCCCCCUGCUAGUGCCGUGGCCAUCCCGGAAGCUCAGCUAGUUCCUCGCAAAGGAGCUCUGCCUCUCGACGGGUCCAGUUUUGGCGAUCCCACUUGUGAUUUAUCAUUUCUGAGCGCUGGUGCAGUCAUUCUGUGACGGGCUCGUUCAUUCACCCGGUAUUACAGGUGACUGCGUGCCAGACUGUUCUAGGCGAGGGGGGACCCAGACGAGGCCCCUGCGCCCGGUGACCUUACGGGCUGGUGGGAGGAAACAAAAAGUAACCUUUCCGCUGGAAAAGAGCCAUGAAGCAACAUAAAGUGGAGUCAGCAGACGGAGGAGGAGGAAGGACGGCAAAGGGCCCUGAGCAAAGGACUGAAUGUCAAUCAAACAACACUCACGUGAAAGUGCUGAUGCGGGGAGGUAACUUCUCACCUGUCACCGUCUCCAGAACCUCCUGCCCCGUGCUCACCUCGGCCAGGACUUUGCCGUCUCCUCCUCUGAGAAAAUAGAAGACGUUUUCCACACAGUCUCAUGACCUCAUCUAUGACCUCACGGGUGUGUGUUCUGCCUUUCUUCCUAGUUACCGUGGGUAAUUUGCUCAUCCUCUCAUCUGGGGCUAGCCUCGGGAAUAUUGCCGUCUCCCUCAGGUUACCAGGGUCUCUCUUCUGCGUGUUAAAAACAAAAGACCUUUUGAUCCCACAAGCUCUUCA